rnacentral:rRNA from 1 species
UACGAAGGGGGCUAGCGUUGCUCGGAAUGACUGGGCGUAAAGGGCGCGUAGGCGGUUUGUACAGUCAGGCGUGAAAUUCCUGGGCUCAACCUGGGGGCUGCGUUUGAUACGUAUGAGCUUGAGUUCGGAAGAGGGUCGUGGAAUUCCCAGUGUAGAGGUGAAAUUCGUAGAUAUUGGGAAGAACACCGGUGGCGAAGGCGGCGACCUGGUCCGAUACUGGCGCUGAGGAGCGAAAGCGUGGGGAGCAAACAGG